AUAAUAGACCCGUUGGUUUCGACCCAAAUAUAGGUAGAUAUACCCUAUUAUG
rnacentral:tRNA from 1 species